ACGAACGCUGGCGGCGUGCUUAACACAUGCAAGUCGAACGGAAAGGCCCUGCUUUUGUGGGGUGCUCGAGUGGCGAACGGGUGAGUAACACGUGAGUAACCUGCCCUUGACUUUGGGUUAACUUCAGGAAACUGGGGCUAAUACCGGAUAGGAGCUCCUGCUGCAUGGUGGGGGUUGGAAAGUUUCGGCGGUUGGGGAUGGACUCGCGGCUUAUCAGCUUGUUGGUGGGGUAGUGGCUUACCAAGGCUUUGACGGGUAGCCGGCCUGAGAGGGUGACCGGCCACAUUGGGACUGAGAUACGGCCCAGACUCCUACGGGAGGCAGCAGUGGGGAAUAUUGCACAAUGGGCGGAAGCCUGAUGCAGAAACGCCGCGUGCGGGAUGACGGACUUAGGGUUGUAAACCGCUUUCGCAUGUGACGAAGAGUGAGUGACGGUAAUGGGUAAAGAAGCACCGGAUAACUACGUG
rnacentral:rRNA from 1 species